rnacentral:rRNA from 1 species
AGGAGAAUGGUUUUGGUUGUGGUUGGAAACGACGAAACGAUCGACCGUCGACUUCAGCGUGCAAACUCAUUCGAGGUGUGAUUGAAAUAUGCUCGAUUAAGAUGGUCGAGAUUGUUAUGUUCGUCACUGCGGUAAUUCGAUGUGACGAGUGUCCUGAAAUAUAUGAUAUUUGUCUGCCUAUUAGCAAUUGUAACGGAGAAUAAGGGUUCGACUGCCUUAGAAACGGCUACCACAUACUUAUCAAUCUUGAAUAGAUGAGAUAGUGACAGACCAUUCCUAUGGAACGGUCAUUCCAAUGAGUUGAUCAUAAACCUUUUUCGAGGAACAAGUGGAGGCAAGUCUGGUGCCAGCAGCCGCGGUAAUUCCAGCUCCACUAGUGUAAAUCGUCAUUGCUGCGGUUAAAAAGCUCGUAGUUGGAUCUGAGUUACAUGCAGUGGUUCACCUUUGGUGUUAAUCGCUGUUGUGACUAUUUGCUGGUUUUCUAUUAAAGCUUCGGCUUUUUUAGUAGCUAGCGAGUUUACUUUGAAUAAAUUAGAGUGCUCAGAACAAGCGUUUGCUUGAAUGGUCGAUCAUGGAAUAAUAAAGAGGACUUCGGUUCUAUUUAUUGGUUCAGGAACUGAAAUAAUGGUUAAGAGGACAAUUCGGGGCAUUCGUAUCCCUGCGCGAGAGGUGAAAUUCGUGGACCGCAGGGGACGCCCUAAAGCAAGCAUUUGCCAAGAAUGUCUUCAUUAAUCAAGAACGAAAGUCAGAGGUUCGAAGGCGAUUAGAUACCGCCCUAGUUCUGACCGUAAACUAUGCCAUCUAGCGAUCCGAUGGGGUAUUGUUGCCUUGUCGAGAGCUUCCGGAAACGAAAGUCUUUCGGUUCCUGGGGUAGUAUGGUUGCAAAGCUGAAACUUAAAGAAAUUGACGGAAUGGCACCACCAGGAGUGGAGCCUGCGGCUUAAUUUGACUCAACACGGGAAAACUCACCCGGCCCGGACACCGUAAGGAUUGACAGAUUGAAAGCUCUUUCUCGAUUUGGUGGUUGGUGGUGCAUGGCCGUUCUUAGUUGGUGGAGCGAUUUGUCUGGUUUAUUCCGAUAACGAGCGAGACUCUAGCCUGCUAAAUAGUGGCUGAAUUUUCAUGUUCAGUCUACUUCUUAGAGGAUAAGCGGUGACUAGCCGCACGAGAUUGAGCGAUAACAGGUCUGUGAUGCCCUUAGAUGUCGGGGCUGCGCGCUACAAUGGAAGAAUCAGCUGGCCUAUCCAUUGCCGAAAGGCAUUGGUAAACCGUUGAAACUCUUCCGUGACCGGGAUAGGGAAUUGUAAUUAUUUCCCUUGAACGAGGAAUUCCUAGUAAGUGUGAGUCAUCAGCUCACGCUGAUUACGUCCCUGCCAUUUGUACACACCGCCCGUCGCUGUCCGGGACUGAGCUGUCUCGAGAGGACUGCGGACUGCUGUAUCGAGGCUUUCGGGUCGCGGUAUGGCGGGAAACAGUUCAAUCGCAAUGGCUUGAACCGGGUAAAAGUCGUAACAAGGUAUCUGUAGGUGAACCUGCAGAUG